CCCCAGUGUUCCUGCUGGGCCAAAGAUUGCAGAGAAGGAGAAAGCUAAAAGCCAGGAAAUUACACUGUGUAUUCAGCACAAUUACAACCUGACACAGCGAUCCUGGCUUUUCUGCCUUGCCAGAAACCUCAGCAGAAUCAGGUUGGGGGUGGGAGGGAGGGGAGAUUAGUUCCCAGCAUCCCCACAGGAAAUUACCCCACUCCCACCUGGUACAUGAGCAAAGGCCUCACUAAAUUGAGCAAGUAGCAGUGAAAUCAUCUCUCCCUCUAGAGAAGGCUUUUAAGAAAGAGGAAGCAGUAAUGUUAACUUUGACAGUGAUGCCAAUCCAAUUCAUUGGUAAGAAUGGAUUGUUAGGAAGCUUCAAUGAUAUAUUUUCUGCUGUAGCACACACUGUCAGUGGACAGCAAGACUGAAAGACCUUGUGAAGGAAGAUGAAGUACUUUCCAGUCCAUUAGUAACUAAAGAAGAAUAAACAAUGAGAGCUUUGUCUCUUCUGUAACACUAAAAGCCACAGUAGGACCUUCCACCCAGCAGAGCUGCAGUACUUACAAAUAAAACUAACUAAUUCAUGAAUUUGUUCUGGAUGCUCUGGAAAUGGCCGCAGAUGUACUAGGAACCUUGGAAAUGCUUCAUAAACUUCCAAGACCCAUGUCCACUAUGUAUGCCUUACUGAUGAAGAGGAACUCCAUUGGUCUGGAGUUCUUUGUAAAAGCAUAGGAAGAGGAAUGAUCACAGCCCUCAAAAGACCCCCAAUGGCAGAGCCUAUUAUGGAAUGUUAAAAAUGCCUCUGUGGAUCUGAGGUAACAAUGCUUCUGUGGGUCUGAUACAGCAAAAGAUAUUUUAUUCAAAAUGUAUCGGAUGUCACAGAGUUUGUGCAAGAUGGGAGGGGGAGGUUGUACUCUGCUAUUUGUUGGUGCUGUAAUAGAACAAAAGGAGCUCUAAUGCAUAUGCUAUAGGACUUUGGCAGCUGUGGAAAGAGGUAGACACCAGUGACAAUUAGUUCUUCGCUUCAGCAGCCAAACUUUAGCUGAAAAUUACAUCCUAGGUUACAGACCUACUGCACUGUUACACCACAAAGACUUUAAUUUUUCAGGGCUACAGUGAUUACCAAGCACAUGAUUUUACAAAAAUAGAGUAGUGCUAUUUGGAAUUGUGAGUUAAGAAUAAAAUAAAGAAUAGCUUUUCAAUGUACAAGGCAAUUAUAUUAAUUCAAAGACAUUUGGACCACAUUUCUUGAUACAUUUGAAUAAAGAAUGCUGAGAUGGCUCAAAUAAUGCCAGACUUCCGGUCCACCUGCCCUCUUUACUUUUUCUCCUCUUCUUGAGCCUCUCUCCCUUAAUCCCUCAUUCCCUUUUUUGCCUAUUUGUUUCUCUUUUUUUUAUCCCCAGCCUAACAUGUUAUGUCUGCGUAAUAUUGUUUGAUUUUUGUAUUGUCUGAUCUUGCAGCUUUGACAAAUUGUAAAGUUGUGUAAUUGCAUAUUUUUAUUGGCUAUUCUGUGAAAUUUGUGGUGUUUGGUAACCUACAAAAGCUGUAAGUCAUUUUACCUUUUUGUAUUUUUGAUUAUUUUAUGGAAAUUAAUAAAAUAUUUACAAAACCUAGGAAUAUAUAGCCUAGAUAACUUGCACUCAGGAGUUCUAAAAGAGUUGGCUGAGAAGAUCUCUAGACUGCUGAUAAUUUAUCAUAGAAUACGAGGGAACUGCCAGAAGACUUGUAGAAUACUAAUAUUGGGCCAGUAUUUAAAAUGGGCAAAUGUGAUGGGGUAACUAUAGGCUGGCUAGCUUGACAUCAGUUCUGGGCAAAAUAAUAGAAAAGCUGAUAUGGGAUUCAGUUGGUAGAGAUAUAAAGCAGGGAGCAGUCAAUAAGCUGACCACAGACCAAAUCCGAACCACCAGACGCUUAUUUUUAUCAUCGUUAUUUUUAUUAUUUUCUCUGAAGUUUGGACCUUGACUAUACCUUGACCAAGACAUUUGGACCUUGACAAAAAUAAUUGAUUACCCCUGGUUUAAAGGAUAGGAGUAUAAUUCAUUCCUGAAAACAAGGUAUUAUGGAAAAUAAAUCCACAUCCCUGAGCAACAUAGUUAUACCAACUUAAUCCUCCGUGUAGACAGCGCUAUGUCAGUGGGAGAGCUGCUCCUGCCAACAUAGCAACUGCCUCUCAGGGAGAUGGAUUAACUACGCCAAUAGGAAAAGCUCUCCCCCGUCAGCAUAGGAGCGUCUUCACUAAAGUGCUAUAGCGACACAAUUGUACCAGUGCAGUGUGCUGCUAUAGGUGAAAACAAGCCCUUAGACUUUUGUAAGGUGUUGAUUAUCAACUCAGGGUGUUUCUAGUGGGGUUCCACAGGGAUUGUUUCUAGGCUUAAUGCUAUUCAUAAUCUUCAUCUAUUAAUUGCUGAGUAAAUACAAAAUCAUUGCUAACAAAAUUUGUGGAAGACAGAUUGGUGGUACGGUAAAUAUAGAUGAGGACAGAGCAGGCAUCAGAAUGAUCGGGAUUGCUUGGUAAACUGGGUCCAUUUAAACAAAAUGCAUUUUAAUACAGCCACAUGCCAAGUUAUACAUCUAGGAACAAAUAAUGCAAUUCAAUGUGAGUUCCCAGUGUAACAUGGUGGCAAAAAAGGCUAAUUUGUAUGGUUUAGAUGCCUAAAAGGGAGUAGUGAGGAGUAAUAGUAGGGAAAUUAUUUUACUUUUGUACCCAGUAUUGGUGAGACCAAUACAUGAUUGCAGGGGACUGAACUUGAUGACCUCUCCCUUCCAGACCUAUGAUUCUGUGAUCCUAGUGGUCCUUACUACAAAUCUGGGAAUGUGAAUUUGCAUCUACCGAGUCCUUGGGAAACUUGUUAAUUGUAUUAUUCUUAGGGGCAAAACAAGCAUCCAAACUAUAGCAACAAUGAACUGCAGUUUUCCCAGGAGAGUAUGGAUUUGUGAUGAAGCAUUGCCUGGUUCAACUGUAAAGGUUGUAGCAGCUUGGGCUGUACUAGAUACAGCCACUCAGAGUCCUCUUGCAAGACAGAGGAAGAUUUGUAUGCUUGUUGCUAAUGGCUGAAUGCCCUGUUUACUGAUAGUAUUAGUUUACUUUAGAGCAUGAGUAAGUAUUUUGGCUAACAAGAAGGUUCAGUAUAUUGUAGCUUUGAAUGUUAUUUUGGGAAAGGUGCAGGGGAGGCAGUCCAAUGCCACAGCCAGAACAAAAGGUUUGGUCUACAUCCAAUCACGUAGAAGAGAGGCAAAAGCUCACUGUUAAUAUUGAGACAUUAAAGGUCCAGGAGAGGAAAAUCACAGAAAGAGGGGAAGACUAACAAGAAUCUCAUUCCAGUAAUCACAUAAUUUAACAACAAAACCUUCAACUGAAUAAUUGGAAUUAUCAGCGCCCCAAGCCUCACUGAUACUGUCCAAGAUUUGAAAAUUAUACAGAUGAACUGCGGAGCAGUGAGCGACGAGCAUGGCGAGCGAUUUCACCAGGUCAUUGCAACAAUGGAGAAACGCUAUCAGGGCAAAUGGAGCCCAUCAAUGCUUGCAGACUAUUGCUGGACAGUGACAAGAGAUGCUCCAUUUACUGAAUACAAGAGACAAGCCAAGAAGCGCCGAGUAGACACGGAA